UGCUUGGUGUUGGACGGCCUGGUCGCGCCUCGGCUCGACCCCUCCUAAAAACAAUGACGGCGGCCUGUGGUUCCCCCGGUACACUGAGCUUUUAACUGAGCACGUGCCGGAUAAAGCGCCCGGGACACGGUCCUCUCCUUUUAUAAGGAAACUUUCUCAAGGUUGACCUCGGAUCAGGUAGGAAUACGCGCUGAACUUAA
rnacentral:misc_RNA from 1 species